UACGUAGGGUGCGAGCGUUGUCCGGAAUUAUUGGGCGUAAAGAGCUCGUAGGCGGUUUGUCGCGUCGACUGUGAAAACCCGAGGCUUAACCUCGGGCCUGCAGUCGAUACGGGCAGACUAGAGUUCGGUAGGGGAGACUGGAAUUCCUGGUGUAGCGGUGAAAUGCGCAGAUAUCAGGAGGAACACCGGUGGCGAAGGCGGGUCUCUGGGUCCGAUACUGACGCUGAGGAGCGAAAGCGUGGGGAGCGAACAGG
rnacentral:rRNA from 1 species